rnacentral:rRNA from 1 species
AUUGAACGCUGGCGGCAUGCCUAACACAUGCAAGUCGAACGGCAGCACAGCAGUAGCAAUACUGUGGGUGGCGAGUGGCGGACGGGUGAGGAAUACGUCGGAAUCUGCCCAGUCGUGGGGGAUAACUAGCCGAAAGGUUAGCUAAUACCGCAUACGACCGAGAGGUGAAAGCGGGGGACCGCAAGGCCUCGCGCGAUUGGAUGAGCCGACGUCGGAUUAGCUAGUUGGCGGGGUAAAGGCCCACCAAGGCGACGAUCCGUAGCUGGUCUGAGAGAUUACUCAGCCACACUGGAACUGAGACACGGUCCAGAGUCCGACGGGAGGCAGCAGUGGGGAAUAUUGGACAAUGGGCGCAAGCCGGAUCCAGCAAUGCCGCGUGUGAAGAAGGCCUUCGGGUUGUAAAGCACUUUUAUCAGGAACGAAAAGCGUUGGAUUAAUACUCUGACGUGCUGACGGUACCUGAGGAAUAAGCACCGGCUAACUUCGUGCCAGCAGCCGCCGUAACAC